ACUUUAAUAAUUUAAAUCUAAAAUAUUGGUCUUGUAAACCAAAAAUAAGUCAUUCUUUUAAAGUA
rnacentral:tRNA from 1 species